CCUACGGGAGGCAGCAGUGGGGAAUCUUGCGCAAUGGGCGAAAGCCUGACGCAGCAACGCCGCGUGCGGGAAGAAGGCUUUCGGGCUGUAAACCGCUUUCAGCAGGAACGAAAAUGACGGUACCUGCAGAAGAAGGAGCGGCCAACUAUGUGCCAGCAGCCGCGGUGAUACAUAGGCUUCAAGCGUUGUCCGGAUUUAUUGGGCGUAAAGAGUUCGUAGGCGGUCAAGUAAGUCGGGUGUGAAAAUUCUGGGCUCAACCCAGAGACGCCACCCGAUACUGCCUAACUUGAGUUCGAUAGGGGAGUGGGGAAUUCCUAGUGUAGCGGUGAAAUGCGCAGAUAUUAGGAGGAACACCGGUGGCGAAGGCGCCACUCUGGAUCGAUACUGACGCUGAGGAACGAAAGCAUGGGUAGCAAACAGGAUUAGAUACCCUGGUAGUCCAUGCCGUAAACGGUGGGCACUAGGUGUGGGUUUCUAUUAACGAAAUCCGCGCCGUCGCUAACGCAUUAAGUGCCCCGCCUGGGGAGGUACGGUCGCGAGACUAAACUUAAAGUAGUAGUAGACGCGNGAGACGUCGACGACGACGACGACGAGGAGUAG
rnacentral:rRNA from 1 species